rnacentral:rRNA from 1 species
AUUGGACGCUAGCGGGAUGCUUUACACAUGCAAGUCGAACGGCAGCGCGGACUUCGGUCUGGCGGCGAGUGGCGAACGGGUGAGUAAUGUAUCGGAACGUGCCCAGUAGCGGGGGAUAACUACGCGAAAGCGUAGCUAAUACCGCAUACGCCCUACGGGGGAAAGCAGGGGAUCGUAAGACCUUGCACUAUUGGAGCGGCCGAUAUCGGAUUAGCUAGUUGGUGAGGUAACGGCUCACCAAGGCGACGAUCCGUAGCUGGUUUGAGAGGACGACCAGCCACACUGGGACUGAGACACGGCCCAGACUCCUACGGGAGGCAGCAGUGGGGAAUUUUGGACAAUGGGGGCAACCCUGAUCCAGCCAUCCCGCGUGUGCGAUGAAGGCCUUCGGGUUGUAAAGCACUUUUGGCAGGAAAGAAACGUCGCGGGCUAAUACCCCGUGGAACUGACGGUACCUGCAGAAUAAGCACCGGCUAACUACGUG